UUCCCUCCAGAUGGGGAAGCAGAACUUGCUGACCAGGGUUGAUGCGGAUCAGACAGCCUUGGUGGGAGAGUUGCUGCUGGAAGAUGUGCGGGACAAAGUGUGAACUAAGCUGUAGUUGCACCUCGAGAAACAAAGGACUGCAGAUGCUGGAAUCUAGAUGAAAAUCACAAUGAUGCUGGAGGAACUCAGCAGGCCAGGCAGCAUCCGUGGAGAAAAGGUGCAUUCAAAAAGGGCAUGACAUGAUUGGAAGUAUCCUGACUGGUUGCAUCAAGGUCUGGUACAGGAACUUGAAGGUGCAGAGGAUAAGAAGCUGCAGAGGGUCAUGGACUUAGCCCAGUACAUCACUGGCACAUCCCUCCCCACCAUCAGAAGUAUCUACAUGAGA